rnacentral:rRNA from 1 species
GACGAACGCUGGCGGCGUGCCUAAUACAUGCAAGUCGAGCGAAUUUACGAGAGCUUGCUCUCGUAAAUUAGCGGCGGACGGGUGAGUAACACGUGGGCAACCUGCCUAUAAGACUGGGAUAACUUCGGGAAACCGGAGCUAAUACCGGAUAAUUCACAUCUACUCAUGUAGAUGUGCUGAAAGACGGUUUCGGCUGUCACUUAUAGAUGGGCCCGCGGCGCAUUAGCUAGUUGGUGAGGUAACGGCUCACCAAGGCCACGAUGCGUAGCCGACCUGAGAGGGUGAUCGGACGCACUGGGACUGAGACACGGCACAGACUCCUACGGGAGGCAGCAGUAGGGAAUCUUCCGCAAUGGACGAAAGUCUGACGGAGCAACGCCGCGUGAGUGAUGAAGGUUUUCGGAUCGUAAAACUCUGUUGUUAGGGAAGAACAAGUACCAGAGUAACUGCUGGUACCUUGACGGUACCUAACCAGAAAGCCACGGCUAACUACGUGCCAGCCGCCGCCGUAA